AGCUUUGUACAGUGGCAGUAUUGUAGCCAAUGAGGUUUAUCCAAGGCGCGAUUAUUGCUAAUUGAAAACUUUUCCCAAUAUCCUAUUAUGACGACUUGAAAUAUAGUCGGCGUUGGCAAUUUGUGGAAUUCUCCAUGGAGA
ensembl:snRNA U4 U4 spliceosomal RNA